CACCGCGGUUAUACGAGAGACCCAAAUUGAUAGUACUCGGCAUAAAGGGUGGUUAAGAAGAAACACGAAUAAGGCCGAACUCUUUCAAGGCUGUUAUACGCAACCGAAAGAAAGAAGAUCAACAACGAAAGUGGCCUUAACUCAAUCUGAACCCACGAAAACUAGGACA
rnacentral:rRNA from 1 species